CCAGACAUCCCUUGACUGCAGAAGUUCCUCUUGGUGUUGACUGACUCUGGAGAUUUUUCUGGUGGUUGGUCAGUUGGUUGGGCAAACAUCAGCAGAGAAUGAAGUUGACCUGUCUGAACUGUCCGAUGGCCCAGCAGAUCCCACCCCAGUGGACCUGGCCUAUGAGGCACAUCCACGUGCAAAGCGUGGUCGGAAGUGGAACAAGUUCCGCCAUCAUAUGAAAAAAUUAUAUCGCGGAGCAAAGAAAAUAGCUAAAGUCGGACUACUGUUGGGAUAAAUGUAGAAUACAGCGGCCAAAAAAACAAACAAAAAAUCUCUUGCAAAGUUGUAAUACAUGUCCCUUUAUGGCUAUGAACUUCCAGCAUUAAGGUAGAACUCUGUCAAGUGUCAUGUAAUAAAGUAAAAUUAUC